CUUUAUCUUAAAAUUGAUUUGCUUAGCUUACUACAAUUUCAUAAAAACAAGCAAUAAUAAUACUGGACAGCAGACAGGACAACAUGAUUAACCUACAAUUUGCAUGAUUACUUCAAAUUUAUAAAUCAUGAAUAUUAAACCCAAAUUGCUCAGUAAGGAAAAAAUAAAAACUUUGGUUAAAAAUUAAUAACUUCAAAAUCUCAAGUUUAUAAUGCAGGACAAGCAAAAAGGCCACCUUCAUCUACACCUUCUAAUCAUACUUAAAUGAACUACUACGUUCAUUCUCACUGGCUAGCUGCGCACGUGUCCUCCGACAUGCAGGGUGAAUCCGACACCGAGUCAAGAGUCUCAUGACACGGGGAGACUUCCACCCCACGUAUCUCCUCAAUCAUCUUCACCAAGUGACCCAUCCUAGGCCGUUGACCAGGCGCCGGAGAUGUACAAGCCAUGGCAAUCUGCAGCAGCGCCACCAUCUCCUCCUCAAUAUCCUUAUACCUCAUUAGCUCCAAAUCAAACACCUCAGCCGUCCACUCUUCUCUCACCACAGACUGGACCCACCUCGGCAAAUCCACGACCCCACCAUACCCACUCCCUGGCCCACCGCAAUCCACUAUAGAAGGGCACUUCCCAGUCAACAACUCCAGCAGCAAGACCCCAAACGAAUAGACAUCAGAUUUCUGGGUUGGCUUGCGACCGUCGGAUGAUAAUUCAGGAGCACGGUAGCCAUUGGAUCUGGGGGCAGAGGCGGUAGGGGAAGCAAAAAGAGAGAGGCCAAAGUCGGAGACACGUGAAUUGCCAGAUUUGUCAAGAAGGAUGUUUGUGGAUUUGAUGUUACCGUGGGUGAGUUUAAGAGACUUGCAUGAGUUGUGAAUAAAGGCUAGACCACGGGCCGCUCCUGCCGCUAUUUUAAGCCUAGUGGUCCAGUCCAGGGGGGUUCUCCCAGGUCCUCGGUUACCAUGAAGAAGCCAAAACAAGCUGCCAUUAGGCAUGAAAUCGUAGACCAACAGCUUCUCUUCUCUUGCAAAGUAAUAAGCUUUCAAGCUAACCAGAUUAGGGUGCCUCAAUCUCCCUAAAACCUCCAUGUGCUGCUCAAACUCUCUCUUCCCUCCCACAUUUGCGUCCUUGAGCCUUUUCACCGCCACCACAUUCCCAUCGUCCAGCACCGCCUUGUACGCUGUCCCGAACCCACCUUUGCCCAGCAUUUCCGCCGAUGCUCUGAGCAAAUCUUCCAGCUCGAACCUCUUCACCCCUUCGAAAAACACCAUCCGACCCCUCUCAAACCCCGGCUGGUUCGGGUACGGGCUUGACGAGUACACUAUUUUCUCCGUUUCGUGGAGCUUCGAGCCCUUCCCCUCUCGCAUUUUGGCUGCAUAGUUUCUCCAGAAGUAGCAGUAGAGGAGCAGAGAGACUACAGAUAGGACUAAGACGUCACCCAAUAUAAUGGCGAUUAGUGCUAACGGGCUUAUUUUGGCUGUCUUGUUGUGGGUGGUGUUUGCUGCUUUGUUUGGGGGAAUUGAGCUUGGGGAUGAUGAUACAAUAGUUGGGUUACUUCCCGGCAUUACUGGAGAGGCAAUAGCUCCGUCGGAUCCAGGUCUUGUUGGGUCAGACACUAUACCUUUACAGGUCUGCACUGGAGAUCCACAGAGACCGGAGUUUUGAGCAAAAGCGGAUUCAGGAAAACUAGAUAAGGACUUGGGUAUCUCACCGGAGAGGUGGUUGCCGGAAACAUUAAAAUCCUGCAAAGUCCGGAUAUUCAUACCAGCAAUAGAACCGGUGAACCGGUUCUCUUCAAGCCGAAGAGUCAACAAAUGGGUCAGACGGUUGAGUGUCGCAGGAAUAUUACCGGAAAAGUUAUUGUAAGACAGAUCCAGACGGUAAAGGCGAAAAAGAGAUUGUAGAGACGCCGGUAAGUUACCAGAAAAGUUAUUGUGAGAUAAAAAGAGAAGCUUCAAAGCUUUGAGGUUUGAGAGGUCUGGUAGCGCACCAGAAAAGCCGUUUCUUUUAAGACUAAGGACCCGGAGCUGAGUGAGAGAAGUAAGGGGUUGAAAGGAGCCAUGGAGGUCAAGAUUUUCAAGGACGAGACGUGAAACUCUGUUUUUGAGACAGAAGACACCGGUCCAGGUGCAUGGGUCAAUAGUGGAGUUCCAAUCUACGAGAUUGUUGGCCUUGUCCGAUUCGGUCUUGAACUGCAUUAGAUGCUCCAAAUCUGGGUUUGUAGACGCUUGCAGAAGAUAUGAACAAAGACACAAGAUAAAGAAGGUAAAAUGUGGGAUUAGCGAAGCGGGUUUCGCCAUUGUUGAUCUGCAGUAGCACAGGGCGCAAUAGAGAAAGGAACCGAGGAACCGUUUAGCUUGUGAGCGAGUGUAUAGGGAGUGGCGGGGUUUGUAGGAGUGGAUGUGGG
rnacentral:misc_RNA from 1 species